GGGAAUAUUGGACAAUGGGCGCAAGCCUGAUCCAGCCAUGCCGCGUGAGUGAUGAAGGUCUUAGGAUUGUAAAGCUCUUUCACCGGUGAAGAUAAUGACGGUAACCGGAGAAGAAGCCCCGGCUAACUUCGUGCCAGCAGCCGCGGUAAUACGAAGGGGGCUAGCGUUGUUCGGAUUUACUGGGCGUAAAGCGCACGUAGGCGGACUUUUAAGUCAGGGGUGAAAUCCCGGGGCUCAACCCCGGAACUGCCUUUGAUACUGGAAGUCUUGAGUAUGGAAGAGGUGAGUGGAAUUCCGAGUGUAGAGGUGAAAUUCGUAGAUAUUCGGAGGAACACCAGUGGCGAAGGCGGCUCACUGGUCCAUUACUGACGCUGAGGUGCGAAAGCGUGGGUAGCAAACAGG
rnacentral:rRNA from 1 species